UGUAAAUGUAGAUCAACAACCAAGUUCUAGAACUUUAAAGGGCUUGAGUUUCCUCCGCGUGCACUUCCUCUCUCAGAGUUUUAUGUUGAGGGUACCACGCAGUCAUUGGUACCACGCCGCUCGAUAAAACGUUUUGCUCUUUUGAGACCCCUCCUGUAGAGAUGCUUACUGGCUCAAGUCUAGUGGCAGCAGCCUCAGUAACACGUCCCCUUGGAGACUAGCAGGAGCAACACGUGAUGCGUCUUACUUAUCAGGUUUAGGGGAGAGGAGAGAGCAGCGCUUUGGGGACGGCCAGAGAGGAAAGCGAAAUAAGUGUUUUCCUCUCGUCUCUCAACUCUUUCUUCCUCUUUAGGAAUUUGGAAGAAAGAGAGGGGAACAAAGUUGUCUAACUUUGCACAUCCUCAGUAACGCCAUUUUGAUUCCUCUCCGGAACAACUUUGCAGCUUCUUUUUUUUUCUUAGCCCAUCAUCACCAUUCACCAUCAUCAGUAUGUCUCGGCGCAAGCAGCCCAACCCCAACAAAGUCGAACUGAUGGAGAGCACGCGUCCGGGGGGAGGAGUGAGCGUCGAGCUGAGCGCUGGAGAGACCGAGCACUCGGAGGAGCAGGAGACCCCUGACUCCACACACACACAGGACAAACACACAGGUCAGGGUGGUGUGUGUGCCUGUGUGUCCGUGUUUGAGUGUUCUUAUGUGUGUGUUAGCUUCUGUGUGGGUGUGUGUGUGUUUGCGUGUAUGUGUGUGUGUGUGUGUGUGUGUGCU
ensembl:lncRNA